rnacentral:rRNA from 1 species
AUCGAUGAAGAACGCAGCGAAAUGCGAUAAGUAAUGUGAAUUGCAGAAUUCAGUGAAUCAUCGAAUCUUUGAACGCACCUUGCGCCCUUUGGCUAUUCCGAAGGGCAUGCCUGUUUGAGUAUCAUGAACACCUCAACUCUCGUGGCUUGCCAUGAUGAGCUUGGACUUUGGGGGUCUUGCUGGCCUGCUGUCAGCUCCCCUCAAAUGAAUUAGCUUGCCAGUGUUUGGUGGGAUCACAGGUGUGAUAACUAUCUACGCUUGUGGUUUUCCACUAGGUAACCUUCAGCAAUGGAGGUUCGCUGGAGCUUAUAAAUGUCUCUCCUCAGCGAGGACAGAUUUUGACCGUUUGAUCUCAAAUCAGGUAGGACUACCCGCUGAACUUAAGCAUAUCAAUAAGCGGAGGAAAAGAAACUAACAAGGAUUCCCCUAGUAACUGCGAGUGAAGCGGGAAGAGCUCAAAUUUAAAAUCUGGCGUGCCUCUGGCCGUCCGAGUUGUAGUCUGGAGAAGCGUUUUCCGUGUUGGACCGUGUAUAAGUCUCUUGGAACAGGGCGUCAUAGAGGGUGAGAAUCCCGUCUUUGACACGGACUACCAAUGCUUUGUGAUGCGCUCUCAAAGAGUCGAGUUGUUUGGGAAUGCAGCUCAAAACGGGUGGUAAAUUCCAUCUAAAGCUAAAUAUAGGCGAGAGACCGAUAGCGAACAAGUACCGUGAGGGAAAGAUGAAAAGCACUUUGGAAAGAGAGUUAAACAGUACGUGAAAUUGCUGAAAGGGAAACGCUUGAAGCCAGUCGCGUCUGCCAGGACUCAGCCUUGCUCCUGCUUGGUGCACUUUCUGGUUUGAUGGGCCAACAUCAAUUUUGACCGUUGGAGAAAGGCUUUGGGAAUGUGGCACCUUCGGGUGUGUUAUAGCCCUUUGUUGUAUACAACGGUUGGGAUUGAGGACCGCAGCACGCCUUCAUGGCCGGGGUUCGCCCACGUACGUGCUUAGGAUGUUGGCAUAAUGGCUUUAAGCGACCCGUCUUGAAACACGG